rnacentral:rRNA from 1 species
GUGCAGCAGGCGAGAAAACUUCACACUGUGCGAAAGCACGAUGAGGGAAUCCCAAGUGCUUGCACGUAAGUGUAAGCUGUUUCUCUGUCUAAAACGCAGAGAGAGUAAGGGCUGGGUAAGACGGGUGCCAGCCGCCGCGGUAAUACCUGCAGCUCAAGUGGUGACCGUUAUUAUUGGGCCUAAAACGUCCGUAGCCGGUUUAAUAAAUGCCUGGGUAAAUUGUGUAGCUUAACUAUACGAAUUCCGGGUAGACUGUUAAACUUGAGACCGGGAGAAGUUAGAGGUACUCCUGGGGUAGAGGUGAAAAUUCUGUAAUCCUAGGGGGACCACCAGUGGCGAAGGCGUCUAACUAGAACGGGUCUGACGGUGAGGGACGAAGCCCU